CAUGCUCUGACUGCUGUUCUGUUGAUCUGACAGGAGUGUGAUUGGUCAGUUGUGCACCAAAGCAGCAGUGAGAUUGGUCAGUAGGUGUUGAAGGUGUUGAAGGAGCAGUGUGACUGGCCAGUAGGUGUUGAAGGAGCAGUGUGAUUGGCCAGUAGAAGGAGCAGUGUGAUUGGUCAGUAGGUGUUGACGGAGCAGUGUGAUUGGCCAAUAGAUGUUGAAGGAGCAGUGUGACUGGCCAGUAGGUGUUGAAGGUGUUGAAGGAGCAGUGUGACUGGCCAGUAG